rnacentral:lncRNA from 1 species
GAAGGCUUCGCAGGGGAGUUGGGACUUCUUCAGCUUCGGUGUGAUACAGGCAAAUGGAAAGAUAGUUCAGGCCGUGGAAGCAGUGUCUAUGGUGCACUUGGUGACAAGGGAGAGACCAAACAGGAUCCAGGAGGGCUAGAGCGUCCAGAAGUAGAAAUCUUUGUAGGUCAGAAGUCUGACAUGGGAUCUCAUGAGGCUAGAAUCAAGGUGUCAGCAAGACUGAGUUCCUUUCCAGAGACUCUAAGAGAUAAUCUGUCUUCUUGCCUUUUCCAGUUACUGGAGAUGUCCCUCAUCCUUUGGCUUCUGGUCUUCUUUCUCCACCUUCAAAGGCAAACAAAACCAUAACCAAAGGGAUGAAAGACAAAUCGCAAAAUGCUAGGCUGCAACCUAUCAAAAACAGAGAUUUGCGGAGAAGUGAACAUUCCCAGGAGUUAACAAAUU